UAUCCCCAAGAGCUUAUUUCACUCCCUAACUAG
rnacentral:tRNA from 1 species